rnacentral:rRNA from 1 species
GAUGAACGCUGGCGGCGUGCCUAACACAUGCAAGUCGAGCGGCAGCGAGGGGUGCUUGCACCCUGUCGGCGAGCGGCGGACGGCUGAGUAACGCGUGGGAACGUGCCCCAAAGUGAGGAAUAACUGCCCGAAAGGGUAGCUAAUACCGCACAUUAUCUUCGGAUCAAAGGAUUUAUCCGCUUUGGGAGCGGCUCGCGUCGGAUUAGGUAGUUGGUGAGGUAAUGGCUCACCAAGCCGACGAUCCGUAGCUGGUAUGAGAGGAUGACUAGCCAGACUGGAACUGAGACGCGGUCCGGACUCCUACGGGAGGCGGCAGUGAGGAAUCUACCAAAAUGGGCGGAGGCCUGAUGGAGCAACGCCGCGUGCAGGACGAAGGCCUUCGAGUUGUAAACUGCUUUUAUAAGUGAGGAAUAUGACGGUAACUUAUGAAUAAGGAUCGGCUAACUACGUG